rnacentral:rRNA from 1 species
GAAGGAAAUUAAGUACGGAAGUUCCUGAUUUCACGCUGUCAAGAAAAGCCUCUAGGAAGAGUAGUACUGCCCGUACCGCAAACCGACACAGGUAGAUGAGGAGAGAAUCCUAAGGUGAGCGAGAGAACUCUCGUUAAGGAACUCGGCAAAAUGACCCCGUAACUUCGGGAGAAGGGGUGCUCUAUUAGGGUGCAAGCCCGAGAGAGCCGCAGUGAAUAGGCCCAGGCGACUGUUUAGCAAAAACACAGGUCUCUGCAAAACCGUAAGGUGACGUAUAGGGGCUGACGCCUGCCCGGUGCUGGAAGGUUAAGAGGAGUGCUUAGCUUCGGCGAAGGUACGAAUUGAAGCCCCAGUAAACGGCGGCCGUAACUAUAACGGUCCUAAGGUAGCGAAAUUCCUUGUCGGGUAAGUUCCGACCCGCACGAAAGGCGCAACGAUCUGGGCACUGUCUCAACGAGAGACUCGGUGAAAUUAUAGUACCUGUGAAGAUGCAGGUUACCCGCGACAGGACGGAAAGACCCCGUGGAGCUUUACUGCAACCUGAUAUGGAAUGUUUGUACCGCUUGUACAGGAUAGGUAGGAGCCGAAGAGACGUGUGCGCUAGCAUACGAGGAGGCAAUGGUGGGAUACUACCCUGGCUGUAUGACCAUUCUAACCCGCCACGCUUAGCGCGUGGGGAGACAGUGUCAGGUGGGCAGUUUGACUGGGGCGGUCGCCUCCUAAAGAGUAACGGAGGCGCCCAAAGGUUCCCUCAGAAUGGAUGGAAAUCAUUCGCAGAGUGUAAAGGCACAAGGGAGCUUGACUGCGAGACUGACAAGUCGAGCAGGGACGAAAGUCGGGCUUAGUGAUCCGGUGGUUCCGCAUGGAAGGGCCAUCGCUCAACGGAUAAAAGCUACCCCGGGGAUAACAGGCUUAUCUCCCCCAAGAGUCCACAUCGACGGGGAGGUUUGGCACCUCGAUGUCGGCUCGUCGCAUCCUGGGGCUGUAGUCGGUCCCAAGGGUUGGGCUGUUCGCCCAUUAAAGCGGCACGCGAGCUGGGUUCA